rnacentral:ncRNA from 1 species
UUAAAAUUUGAUUCUAGUUUUUAAUUUUAAUAUAUAUUUUUAUUAUAUGUAAAUUUUUGUAUAAUAAAUUUUAUUUAAAUAGUAAAUUUAGAUUUAUAAAAUUAGCAAUAAUUAGAUUUAUAAUAUAAAAGUAAUUUUGAUAUAGAAAUAUAUAAUAGUAUUGAUAAAAUUUGUGCCAGCAAUCGCGGUUAUACAAAUAAUACAAUUAAAUUUUAUUUAAUAAUAAUAAAUAAGGAAAUUAAAUUUUAAUUUAAAUUUAAAUUUAUUAGGUGAAAUUAUAAAUUUAAAUAAAAUUGAUAAUUAAAAAUUUAUGAAAUUAUGAGAUUUAUUUAAAAUAGACUAGGAUUAGAUACCCUAUUAUUAAGAAUGUAAAUUUAUAAUAUUAUAGUAGUAGUAGAUUAUGCUCUUGAAAUUUAAAGAAUUUGGCGGUAUUUUAGUCUAUUCAGAGGAAUCUGUUCUAUAAUUCGAUAUUCCACGAUUAAUUUUACUUAAUUUAUUAGUUUAUAUAUCGUCGUAGUUUGAAUAUCUUUAAAGAGUUAUGAAUAUUCAAGAUUUAUAAUAAAUAAAAUAAAUCAGAUCAAGGUGUAGCUUAUAAUUAAGAAGAAAUGGAUUACAAUAAAUUUAUUUAAAUGGAUAUUAAAUUUAAAAAUUUAGUUGAAAUUGGAUUUGAAAGUAAUAUAUUUAAAUUUAAAUAUAUGAUUUUAGCUCUAAAAUAUGUACAUAUCGCCCGUCGCUUUCAUUGAUUAAAUAAAAAUGAAAUAAGUCGUAACAUAGUGGGUGUACCGGAAGGUGUACCUAGGUAGCU